rnacentral:lncRNA from 1 species
CUGCUUUCAAUGUGUCAUUAGUGCUCGCCUUCUGUGGAUGCCUGAUUGCUAUGUAACUGGUUGUAGCCAAGCUGAACAUUGCUCGCGCUGCCUGAGCGAGCCGCUUGUAAUCUGCUAUGUGAACCUCCAGGGGCGGCCUCUGCUCCCCUUGUUGUCAGAGCAUGGUCGGGGCAUCUUUGAUGGCCCUGUUGUGUUUUAUUGUGUGCUCGUCUGCCUAUCUUGGGUUGCUUGGUAGCUUGCCAUGAU